CCCUUAGAUGUCCUGGGCCGCACGCGCGCUACACUGAGUGUCUGAGAUACGAGUCUGCCUGGUCCGGCAAGGUCUAGGUAAUCGCUAAAAGACACAUCAUGCUUGGGAUAGAUUAUUGCAAAUAUUAAUCUUGAACGAGGAAUUCCUAGUAAGCGCAAGUCAACAGCUUGCGUUGAUUACGUCCCUGCCCUUUGUACACACCGCCCGUCGCUACUACUGAUUGGAUGUUUAAGCGAGGUUCUCGAACUGCUAGCGACUUAGCUUCGGUGAGGUCGCAGUGUGGGAAGGGAACCUAGCGUUGGUGUCUAGAGGAAGUAAAAGUCGUAACA
rnacentral:rRNA from 1 species